GGCAGAGAUAAAGCCAUCAGAGCAAUUCCCACUGCCAACACCAAGGCAAACUUCGGUUCUGAUUAAAAAGAAUUAAAUACCGGAGCAUGACCCAGUUGCAGCCACCCUGAAGUAUUUGGACCAAAAGACAAUGACGACGGAAGGGGGGGCGGAGGAAGACCUCUGCUUUGAUUGCAUCUCAGGCUGUUUACCCUCCCAGUUCAGAACUGUUUGAGCUGUUUCCGAUGAGAACAGACCGGAGGAAAUAUGCUGGAAUUUAUUUUCACUUUUCCUUUGCUUUAGCACAGUGACUGAAGUCUACACGGACAUUUCGUCUGGACCGGGAGACCCCGCGCGACUGUCCCCCCGUGGGAACAGUUUGGGGUGGGGGUGUGGAUUCCUCUCCAUCAAUCACUCCGUGCAUUAAUCCCAUCCCUCCGCGCUGCUGGGGCUGGCAGGAUCUCGCCUUUGGGCAGACGGACGCCUGCACUCUUUGUUGGUUCUGAGCUAUUUUACAAAAGAGGUAACUUGCAAACUUGGCUCCGCUACUUGGAGCACAAAGGCAGGAUCUCAACUUACAAGUUAUCACCGAAACACCCAGAAACAUUUUAAAUCGCAAAAUCUCCUGUCAGCUUCCCCCCUGCUUCUGAAAUAGCAGCGGCCUCACCAAACACCCUCUGCCAGUAAUCCCUGUUUCUGAAAAGACUUGUUUUUUUCUUCUCAACUCACCUCUGACAUGUGGUUGACUAUACUUUCCUUUGAAAACAGUGAGGCUAAGCCCUGUGCAAAUAAAGUGAUCGCAGGACCUACGCCUGCCUUCUUAAUUGAAAUCUGCCUGCUGCAAAAUGUCUGAACACCAAGGGCAGGUUGCUUGGUUAGCUCUGGAGCAGGACGGGCAAAAAGUUUGGAGAAAGAGAGAAAACAAAUACAGACCAAACACAGGGAGGAAGGGAUUACGAACGGAUCCAGGCAAAACGUAGGUACGUGCGGAAGGAGGGCAGAAGGGGGGAUCAUUCCCCUUAUCCCUAGUAAUAUAAUGCAAUAUAAAGCAGAAUCAAUCUUAAUAUUCACAGCACAGUCAAUACCCUAGUGCCUAGCUGUCAGCAGAAACUAAAGUGGAUCCCCAGUAGCAAAAAACCCCUUGGACAUAAAGCAACGUAAUUUACCGAGAACUGUGCACUUUUAGGCUCCUCAGAUAAGACCUGCAGUAAUUUCAUGUUUGCUGUUUUCUUCUACAACCCUAUUUUUUCGGUUUGCAAUUAGGAGGACUGUGAUUUAAUUUCGGAUAUAACUAAAAAGGAAGACUACACGUGUAUUUAUUUUUAAGGGUUGAUUGUUACAAACGUUCUUAUUCUCAUAAUACAACAUAGAACACUUUUCAAAAUUCUCCUUAAAAAAGACGGGAUUUCUCUGCAAAUUCUCUGGUGCCGAGAAACAGCAAAAAUCCCCCCAAACUGCCUCUAAGAAAAACGCGGGAUUUAUUAGCGUCUCAUUAACGCGCCAUGAAGAAAAACAUCUUAGCACUUUUGCGAGGAAAAUUCGUGGUCGGGGAAACGCCGCUGCCCGGGGCGCCCGCAGCCCGGCCGCGCUCUCCGCCAGCCGGGGUCGCCGCCGCCUCUGCGCGGGGUCGCCCCGCUCCGCUCCGCUCCGGGGCAGGCGGCUUCCCCGCGCCCCCGCCAAGGGUUCAGCUCCGCUGCCUCCCGAGCCGCCGGCCGGCGCCGCGGGCCCCCGAGGCGAGGCGAGGCGCGGCGAGGCGAGGCGCGGCGGGGCAGCAGCGGCGGCCGGGCCGCGCUGCGCGGCGGGCAGCAAUAUCUUGUCAGCUUUGUAAUUCAUCUACCGCCACUUCGGGGGCAGGGAGAAGGAAAGAAAGAAAGUUACACUUCCUAACAAGAAAUCAAAGCCUCCCGAAGAACAGACACAUACUGCUGGAUGGUGAUUUUUAAAUGAGUGUCAACCAGAUAGUGUCUAAAGACAUGGAAAUGAGAAUGGGAAUAUAUCAGCAACAGCCUUCCACGCACUAGUGCAAUAAAAUGGAACAGAAAAAUGCAUUAAGAAGUUGCUCUAAUCGUGAGACUCCGGGUCUCCGCAGAGGAGCAGGAAGGAGAGAAACAAAAACCACACACACAAAAAAGACAAGGUUUAAUUAGACGAAACCAACUUUGCUUGUGCCUCAUCCAGGCUUUGGUCAGUGAUGGUCAUGAUCUGAUGGAGGAUGUCCCCGAUGUCCUGCUUUCUGCCGUCGCCGUCUGCCCCUUCGUGUCCGUGGGGAGGAGGCAGAGCCAUGCCCCCCUGCACCGAGUGGCCAGCCAGGUUCACGCCGGCCAGAGUCUGCAACAUCCUGGACUGAUCAUCCAUACCUCCUACCGCAGCCCGAUCAAUGCACUUUGAGACAGCAGCCGGAGAAGCGGCGAAGCGGGGGAGAGCCGGAGCUUCGCCGGCGGAGGAAGGAGGUUUAUGCUUCGAAAAGAAAAUGCGAAUAAAUCUCUGGCUCUCGUAGUCAAUUCA